rnacentral:rRNA from 1 species
AGUGAACGCUGGCGGUAGGCCUAACACAUGCAAGUCGAACGGCAGCACAGGAGAGCUUGCUCUCUAGGUGGCGAGUGGCGGACGGGUGAGGAAUACAUCGGAAUCUGCCCAGUCGUGGGGGAUAACGUAGGGAAACUUACGCUAAUACCGCAUACGACCUUCGGGUGAAAGAGGGGGAUCGCAAGACCUCUCGCGAUUGGAUGAGCCGAUGUCGGAUUAGCUAGUUAGCGGGGUAAUGGCCCACCAAGGCGACGAUCCGUAGCUGGUCUGAGAGGAUGAUCAGCCACACUGGAACUGAGACACGGUCCAGACUCCUACGGGAGGAAGCAGUGGGGAAUAUUGGAGAAUGGGCGCAAGCCUGAUCCAGCCAUACCGCGUGAGUGAAGAAGGCCUUCGGGUUGUAAAGCCCUUUUGUUGGGAAAGAAAUCUUUCAGGCUAAUACCCUGGGAGGAUGACGGUACCCAAAGAAUAAGCACCGGCUAACUUCGUG